rnacentral:rRNA from 1 species
AUUGAACGCUGGCGGCAGGCCUAACACAUGCAAGUCGAGCGGAUGAAGGGAGCUUGCUCCUGGAUUCAGCGGCGGACGGGUGAGUAAUGCCUAGGAAUCUGCCUGGUAGUGGGGGAUAACGUCCGGAAACGGGCGCUAAUACCGCAUACGUCCUGAGGGAGAAAGUGGGGGAUCUUCGGACCUCACGCUAUCAGAUGAGCCUAGGUCGGAUUAGCUAGUUGGUGGGGUAAAGGCCUACCAAGGCGACGAUCCGUAACUGGUCUGAGAGGAUGAUCAGUCACACUGGACCUGAGACACGGUCAAGACUCCUACGGGAGGCAGCAGUGGGGAAUAUUGGACAAUGGGCGAAAGCCUGAGCCAGCCAUGCCGCGUGUGUGAAGAAGGUCUUCGGAUUGUAAAGCACUUUAAGUUGGGAGGAAGGGCAGUAAGUUAAUACCUUGCUGUUUUGACGUUACCAACAGAAUAAGCACCGGCUAACUUCGU